rnacentral:misc_RNA from 1 species
UACGUAGGUGGCAAGUGUUGUCCGGAAUUAUUGGGCGUAAAGCGCGCGCAGGCGGUCUUUUACGUCUGAUGUGAAAGCCACCGGCUCAAACGGGGAGGGUCAUUGGAAACUGGGAGACUUGAGUACAGAAGAGGAGAGUGGAAUUCCACGUGUAGCGGUGAAAUGCGUAGAUAUGUGGAGGAACCCCAGUGGCGAAGGCGACUCUCUGGUCUGUAACUGACGCUGAAGCGCGAAAGCGUGGGGAGCAAACAGG